GCACCCGCACAAGCGGUGGAGCAUGCUGUUUAAUUCGAAGAUACGCGAAGAACCUUACCUAGACUUGACAUCCCCGGCAAUGCUAUAGAAAUAUAGCGGAGGCUAUCCGGGUGACAGGUGGUGCAUGGUUGUCGUCAGCUCGUGUCGUGAGAUGUUCGGUUAAGUCCGAUAACGAGCGCAACCCUUGUCGUUAGUUACUAACAUUUAGUUGAGUUCUCUAACGAUACUGCCGGUGACAAACCGGAGGAAGGUGGGGAUGAUGUCAAAUCAUCAUGCCCCUUACGUCUAGGGCAACAGGCGUGCUACAAUGGCCGAAACAAAGAGACGCAAUACCGCGAGGUUGAGCAAAUCUCCAAAAUCGGUCUCAGUUCGGAUUGAAGUCUGCAACUCGACUUCAUGAAGUUGGAAUCGCUAGUAAUCCCAAAUCAGCAUGUUGGGGUGAAUACGUUCCCGGGUGUU
rnacentral:rRNA from 1 species